rnacentral:rRNA from 1 species
UUUAUGGAGAGUUUGAUCCUGGCUCAGGAUGAACGCUGGCGGCGUGCCUAAUACAUGCAAGUCGAGCGAACGGACGAGAAGCUUGCUUCUCUGAUGUUAGCGGCGGACGGGUGAGUAACACGUGGAUAACCUACCUAUAAGACUGGGAUAACUUCGGGAAACCGGAGCUAAUACCGGAUAAUAUUUUGAACCGCAUGGUUCAAAAGUGAAAGACGGUCUUGCUGUCACUUAUAGAUGGAUCCGCGCUGCAUUAGCUAGUUGGUAAGGUAACGGCUUACCAAGGCAACGAUGCAUAGCCGACCUGAGAGGGUGAUCGGCCACACUGGAACUGAGACACGGUCCAGACUCCUACGGGAGGCAGCAGUAGGGAAUCUUCCGCAAUGGGCGAAAGCCUGACGGAGCAACGCCGCGUGAGUGAUGAAGGUCUUCGGAUCGUAAAACUCUGUUAUUAGGGAAGAACAUAUGUGUAAGUAACUGUGCACAUCUUGACGGUACCUAAUCAGAAAGCCACGGCUAACUACGUGCCAGCAGCCGCGGUAAUACGUAGGUGGCAAGCGUUAUCCGGAAUUAUUGGGCGUAAAGCGCGCGUAGGCGGUUUUUUAAGUCUGAUGUGAAAGCCCACGGCUCAACCGUGGAGGGUCAUUGGAAACUGGAAAACUUGAGUGCAGAAGAGGAAAGUGGAAUUCCAUGUGUAGCGGUGAAAUGCGCAGAGAUAUGGAGGAACACCAGUGGCGAAGGCGACUUUCUGGUCUGUAACUGACGCUGAUGUGCGAAAGCGUGGGGAUCAAACAGGAUUAGAUACCCUGGUAGUCCACGCCGUAAACGAUGAGUGCUAAGUGUUAGGGGGUUUCCGCCCCUUAGUGCUGCAGCUAACGCAUUAAGCACUCCGCCUGGGGAGUACGACCGCAAGGUUGAAACUCAAAGGAAUUGACGGGGACCCGCACAAGCGGUGGAGCAUGUGGUUUAAUUCGAAGCAACGCGAAGAACCUUACCAAAUCUUGACAUCCUUUGACAACUCUAGAGAUAGAGCCUUCCCCUUCGGGGGACAAAGUGACAGGUGGUGCAUGGUUGUCGUCAGCUCGUGUCGUGAGAUGUUGGGUUAAGUCCCGCAACGAGCGCAACCCUUAAGCUUAGUUGCCAUCAUUAAGUUGGGCACUCUAAGUUGACUGCCGGUGACAAACCGGAGGAAGGUGGGGAUGACGUCAA